rnacentral:rRNA from 1 species
CCUACGGGGGGCUGCAGUGAGGAAUAUUGGUCAAUGGGCGUGAGCCUGAACCAGCCAAGCCGCGUGAGGGAAGAAGGUACAGCGUAUCGUAAACCUCUUUUGUCAGGGAACAAAGGCGGGGACUAGUCCCCUGAUGAGGGUACCUGAAGAAAAAGCAUCGGCUAACUCCGUGCCAGCAGCCGCGGUAAUACGGAGGAUGCGAGCGUUAUCCGGAUUUAGUGGGUUUAAAGGGUGCGCAGGCGGCCUGUUAAGUCAGCGGUAAAAGCCCGGGGCUCAACCCCGGCGAGCCGUUGAAACUGGCGGGCUGGAGUUGGAGAGAAGUACGCGGAAUGCGCGGUGUAGCGGUGAAAUGCUUAGAUAUCGCGCAGAACCCCGAUUGCGAAGGCAGCGUACCGGCUCCACACUGACGCUGAGGCACGAAAGCGUGGGUAUCGAACAGGAUUAGAUACCCCAGUAGUC